GACGAACGCUGGCGGCGUGCCUAAUACAUGCAAGUCGAACGCACUCUCGUUUAGAUUGAAGGAGUUUGCUCCUGAUUGAUAAACAUUUGAGUGAGUGGCGGACGGGUGAGUAACACGUGGGUAACCUGCCCUAAAGUGGGGGAUAACAUUUGGAAACAGAUGCUAAUACCGCAUAAAACCUAACACCGCAUGGUGUAGGGUUGAAAGAUGGUUUCGGCUAUCACUUUAGGAUGGACCCGCGGUGCAUUAGUUAGUUGGUGAGGUAAAGGCUCACCAAGACCGUGAUGCAUAGCCGACCUGAGAGGGUAAUCGGUCACACUGGGACUGAGACACGGCCCAGACUCCUACGGGAGGCAGCAGUAGGGAAUCUUCCACAAUGGACGAAAGUCUGAUGGAGCAACGCCGCGUGAGUGAAGAAGGUUUUCGGAUCGUAAAACUCUGUUGUUGGAGAAGAAUGUAUCUGAUAGUAACUGAUCAGGUAGUGACGGUAUCCAACCAGAAAGCCACGGCUAACUACGUG
rnacentral:rRNA from 1 species